CUUUGUCUAUACAUUUCCUAGAUUUCUAUGCAGUUGAGAUUUCUCAUUUCUCUUGUACGGAUGGCCAAAACAAAACAAGAAUGCAUUGCUUUUGAGCCUCUGGUCUCCUGGUUCAACAACAGGCUUAUCUGUAUGAUACAUGUAAUUUAAACCUUCAAACAAUCAAAAGGAAAAUCUUGAUGUGUGCGACAGUGGCUGCCGAAGCGGCUGGCCCUGCACAGUCCACACUCUAAACCGCUCUGUGUAGUAUCAUUCACUGGUAAAAUGUUCCACCUUCACAGUAAGGGAGAAUCCGAUUCCCAAGCAGUGUGUAUAUAUGUAAUAAACACUUCCACGUACACACACCAACGCAGUGCUUGUCCAAAUAAAAAUCGGAGUGGAAGAGAGAGGAAGAGGUAAACCAUAUGAAACUGAGAAAAUGUGACAUACGAAGUGGACAAAGAGCUUUUUCUUUAAAAACAGAAACUUUUUUACUCCAUCAUACGUUUUUAGCCUGUUGCUUC
rnacentral:lncRNA from 1 species